AGAGUUUGAUCAUGGCUCAGGAUGAACGCUAGCGGCAGGCCUAAUACAUGCAAGUCGAACGGGCUGGAGUAGCAAUACUCCAGUUAGUGGCGCACGGGUGCGUAACGCGUAUGCACCUCCUUUUAUUGGGGGAUAGCCCGAAGAAAUUCGGAUUAAUACCGCAUAAUAUCAUUUGAGGGCAUCUGAGGAUGAUUAAAGCUACGGCGAUAAAAGAUGGGCAUGCGUGUCAUUAGCUAGUUGGUUGAGGUAACGGCUCACCAAGGCGACGAUGACUAGGGGUUCUGAGAGGAUGAUCCCCCACACUGGUACUGAGAUACGGACCAGACUCCUACGGGAGGCAGCAGUAGGGAAUAUUGGGCAAUGGCGGAAACGCUGACCCAGCCAUGCCGCGUGCAGGAUGAAGGCCUUCUGGGUUGUAAACUGCUUUUACCAGGGAAGAAAAUACCUUUGCGAAGGGAACUGACGGUACCUGGUGAAUAAGCACCGGCUAACUCCGUGCCAGCAGCCGCGGUAAUACGGAGGGUGCAAGCGUUGUCCGGAUUUAUUGGGUUUAAAGGGUGCGUAGGCGGCUUGAUAAGUCCGUGGUGAAAGCCAACAGCUCAACUGUUGAACUGCCAUGGAUACUGUCAGGCUUGAGUACAGACGAGGUAGGCGGAAUGGAUCGUGUAGCGGUGAAAUGCAUAGAUACGAUCCAGAACUCCGAUUGCGAAGGCAGCUUACUAGGCUGUAACUGACGCUGAGGCACGAAAGCGUGGGGAGCGAACAGGAUUAGAUACCCUAGUAGUCC
rnacentral:rRNA from 1 species